rnacentral:tRNA from 1 species
GCUCGAGUGGUGAAAUUGGCAUACACGCAAGACUUAGGAUCUUGUGCCUUGCGGCGUGGGGGUUCGACUCCCCCCUCGAGCACCA